rnacentral:rRNA from 1 species
AAGUCCCGCAACGAAGUCCGCCAACCCUUGUUUUUAGUUGCCUAUAUGGAACUCUAAAAAGACUGCUGGUUAUAAACCGGAGGAAGGCGGGGAUGACGUCAAGUCAGCAUGCCCCUUACACCCUGGGCUACACACGUGCUACAUUGGGCGAGACAAUGAGACGCAAACCUGCGAAGGUAAGCUAAUCUAUAAACUCGUUCUAAGUUCGGAUUGUAGGCUGCAACUCGCCUACAUGAAGUUGGAAUCGCUAGUAAUCGCUGGUCAGCUAUACAGCGGUGAAUUCGUUCCCGGGCCUU